ACUCCCGGCUGCCGUUCUGGGAUCCCUCUGUAGGUGGAAGUGUUGCCGAGCCCAGCGGAGGCUCCCGGCUCUGCCGGGGCUGCCCACACCGAGGGCCACCGAGGUGAGCAGGGGACAAAUGUCCUGCCCUGGGCCGGGGACAGAGCAGCCCCGUCCCCGGGGCUCGGCCUCGGCUGGACACCCCAAUUCCAUCUGCUGGGAGCCGGGGAUGGAUCAAAGCCUCCAGGGGCGGCACCAGCCACCAGCUGUGGGAGAUUCCCCGGGAGGGAGCAGGGACUGGGACAGCUCCGGGGACAGCCCUGAGUGACCCAAAGGGGAGGGAAUGGGCGUCCCUCACCAUGGCCUGGGCUGCUCCAGGUGUCCCAGAGGAGCUGUGGCUGCCCCAUCCCUGGAAUGUUCCAGGCCAGGGUGAUCCCUCUGAGGCCCGGCAGGUGCUGGGCAGGCCCGGGCCUGUGCCCAGGAGCCAAGGGCGGAAAUCCACAGCAAAAUGACCUUGAAGCAACUGAGUCUCCUGAAAGGCCCUCACAGAUUUAAUUACCCCUGUUCAGGGAUUGCUGCAGCUUCCCAAAAUUCCAUGUGACUUGGGAGCCCAGGUUUGCAUGGAGCAAUCAGGAGCUGAGAUUCAAAUGCCUGAGGUCCUGUUUUAAAGUGAUUUAGAGGCAUCUUUCUGCCAGGUGGAGAUGGUUCAAAGUUUGCCCUCCAUGCUGAGGAGACACCUGCUCUGAGGACAGUGAGGGCAGCGGGGUGACAGCGACUGAAACGGGACAGAGUGGAGCGGAGAGGCUGGAGCUGUCACCCUGUCCCUUCCAAGGGAAUAAAUCACCUCCUCCAAGGGCACAGAGCACCCUCCUUCCUCUCCCUCAGCAUCUCCCGGCAGGCUGGGAGCGCUGGGCCAGCCCAGCCCCAAACCAGCCCUCCAGAAUUCCGUAUUUUUCCCCACCAGGAUGCUCAGAAGGCCGCGGCCAGGCAGGGUGAGAGCACGGUAGUGCUUUGCCAUCGAGGAAACCGCAAGAACAAGCGGAGAUGUUAUCUCUGACAUCUGGCUCCGAUCAGAGAGCUCUGGCUGCUGUCAGGAAUGGACGGGAUGGCCCCAGGGCUGCUUUUUGUUUCAGGGCUCCUCGUGGCUUCCCCGGCAACAGCGAAGCCGACACAGGGAUGCCAGAGCUGGCGACACAAAGGCAGCACCGCCACCCUUCCCCUGCCCUCUGCAGAGCCAGCGGCGACCUCGGCGUGGCCAGGGAGCAGCGACGUGUCCUCAGCCACCUUUAACCCCAGUCCAAUUUCUUCUUUUGUAGAAAAACUCCAUCUGCAAGGCACAGUCGGGAUCCCAGAUCCUACACACACCUCAGAGCAAGGUCUAGUGAUCAUCCCAGCUUUGGUUUGUGAUAUCCCAGUGGGAAUGAAGUGAUAUCCAUGGCAAGCUGUGCAUGGCCCGUGCUGAUCCCAAUUUCUGCUGGAGGAGAAGCAGGACCAGACAGGGGCUGGACUCUCCAUCACAUCAUCUGUGGAGAACAUUGCAUUUUGGGCAACUUCAGGUGGGAAAAGGAUGAGCCACACUGAGGCACUGACUGAGAUUCCAGGGCUCCUCUUGUGCUGUCCCUUUGUCCCCUGGGAGCAGGGACAGCCAGGAGGCUUUGGCCACACCAGGGAUGUGUCUGGGGCUCACACAGAGCAUCAGCCCCAGCCCACCGAGCCCCAUUUCCCUGCCUGGCACAGGGGACUGAUCCUGUCUGGAAAGGUUCAGGGCUGCAGGAGCUCCCUCCAGAGCAGGCACCACCCCCAGCUCUGCCAGGGGCAGUCUGAAGCCUUUCCAGCAGGGAAGGACAGGACAGCCUCGUGCCAUGGGAUGUUUUCUCCAAGGGAAGGGCUGGAAUGCUGCCCACGGCCAGCAGGGCAGGAUCCACAGGGACAGGUUUGUUCCUGGAGCUUUAUUUGGCUUUGCCUUGUGCCACGAGUCCUGGAGUGCAAGGUCCCUGACACCACUCCUACAAGAACUUCCUGCAGGAAGUUUGAUUUCCUAAAAUUUCAGGGCUGUAAUGAGGUGUCCACAUCCUCUGUGGCACUUUGUGCUCUGCCUGUCAUCCCACCAUGGAAAACACUUGGUAAACUUUCCUUGACAUGGUGAGAUUCAUUAAAUUGUUUUCAAAGCCAGUUAAAAAGGGUCCCUGACAUUUCCAUAUUUUGUUUAUUGCUUAGCAGCAGGAGCUCCGGGUUCUGGGAGGGAGGGGGAGAAGGGAAAUAUUUGUUCUGGACUUGGUUUGCCUCCAGGACCUGGCCACUCCCUCGUGCCAGAGCCACGAUCCCGUUCCUGCUCCCGUUAUUUUACUGUUCCUCCCUGGCCACACUCCUCCUUCACUGCAGCUGCUGCUCCAGGACAGAAACAGGGGGAUAAGAGCCCAGGUUUGAGAUGAUGGAAUCAUGCAAUCACAGACUGAUUUGAGUUGGAAGGGACCUCAAAGCUCAUCCAGUUCCUGUCCCAGGCUGUUCCCAGCCCCAUCCAUCCUGGAUCCUGUGAUGCUGGGCCAUUAUUCCCUGCCCAGGGCCAGGACGUUGGAAUGGGAUGAACUUUAAGGCCCCUUCCAACCCAAACCUUCUGGGAUCCAGGCGUUUUCUGAUUUCAAUCCCACUCAUUGAAGAUGUGCUGCUCUUUGUGCUCCUCUUGGAGAGACUCUUUUCACUUUUCCCAUCUUGAAAUGUGCCCAGCAUUUAAUUACACCAUGAAUAAAUUAUUGGACAGAUAAAAGAUAUUACCUCAAAAAUAAACAAAAAAUUUC